GGGCAGGUAUGAAGAUAUGUUCGAUGAAGACGACGUUAGCAAGGUUACCCUUCCGGCUUGGCCUGGGCAGGGUUAUGGACGCCACUGGUUAUCUUCAGGACUCUUAGUCCAAUUUGUAUCUUGUCCGUACUCGGACGUAAUCGAUCUUCUGUAUGAUUUGGAUCUUUGUAUUGUCUAUUUGUAUCUUGACUCGUCGGAGUCGUUGUUGUAAUAUAUGUUUCUUGUGGGCUCUA